GCCGCAAGCCGCCUGCAGGGGGAGAGUCCUCGUUAGUGUACAAAGGACUGCUCCCACGACAACCCCAUUGAUGCUCCUUUUAGAAUGCGGAGGGACCGAACCAUCCCAUAACAGGAGGAGCCAUUUCAAGGAGACGACGCCCUCCCGGCCAGAUACGCCUACUGUAAGGCGGAGGGACAGAACAAGCCCAUCAAGGGAGGAACAAUUGCGGGGAGAUACUCCCAAAGAGGGUGUAUAUUGAGUAUUUGGCCUAUAUUAUUUGGAGUCCCUGUAGAAGAGAAGAAGAGUCGGAUAAGGAUGUGAUAUUGAAACAACAGCAAAAGAAAACUCCACAGUAUCAGAUACAGUCCUUUCAGUCGCGUAAGUCCAGAAGAGGUCGGGGCUCGUCUUUCCUCGCCAGAGGUAAGGGUAGAGGGAAAAGAUGCCUGCUACAGCUAGUUCCCAGGAGCAGAAGUCCUCCCCGGCUUCUACUAAAUCCACCGCAUGACGCUGGGGCUCCACUGAGGGAGUCCGCAGCGGUGAGGGCACGUCUUCGACUCUUCAGCCAGGUCUGGGUUCUGUCAGACGUGGAUCCUUAGGCGAUGGAUAUUGUAUCUCAAGGCUACAAACUGGAAUUCGAAGAGGUGCCCUCUCUCCGAUUUUUCAAGUCGGCCUUGCCAGCUUCUCCCCCAGAGAGGGAAGUAGUGUUAACUGCAAUUCAAAAGCUGUAUCAACAGCAAGUGAUUGUCAAGGUUCUCCUAGUCCAACAGGGGAAAGGGUACUAUUCGACCCUGUUCGUGGUCCCGAAGCCGGAUGGUUCGGUCAGACCCAUUUUAAAUCUAAAAUCCCUAAACCUGUACUUGAGAAAGUUCAAAUUCAAGAUGAAAUCGCUCCGGGCUGUGAUCUCCAGUCUGGAAGGGGGGAUUUUAUGGUGUCACUCGACAUAAAGGAUGCAUACCUUCAUGUCCCCAUAUAUCCUCAUCAGGCGUACCUCAGAUUCGCUGUACAGGACUGUCAUUACCA